rnacentral:rRNA from 1 species
UGGGGAAUAUUGGACAAUGGGGGCAACCCUGAUCCAGCCAUGCCGCGUGUGUGAAGAAGGCCUUCGGGUUGUAAAGCACUUUAAGCGGGGAGGAAGGUUCGCUACUUAAUACGUAGCGGAAUUGACGUUACCUGCAGAAUAAGCACCGGCUAACUCUGUGCCAGCAGCCGCGGUAAUACAGAGGGUGCAAGCGUUAAUCGGAAUUACUGGGCGUAAAGCGCGCGUAGGCGGUUGUGUAAGUUGGAUGUGAAAUCCCCGGGCUUAACCUGGGAAUGGCAUUCAAAACUGCACGGCUAGAGUGUGGGAGAGGAAGGUAGAAUUCCAGGUGUAGCGGUGAAAUGCGUAGAGAUCUGGAGGAAUACCGAUGGCGAAGGCAGCCUUCUGGCCUAACACUGACGCUGAGGUGCGAAAGCAUGGGGAGCAAACA